UGAGUAACUCGUGGGUAGCCUGCCCAUCAGAAGGGGAUAACACUUGGAAACAGGUGCUAAUACCGUAUAACAAUCGAAACCGCAUGGUUUUGAUUUGAAAGGCGCUUUCGGGUGUCGCUGAUGGAUGGACCCGCGGUGCAUUAGCUAGUUGGUGAGGUAACGGCUCACCAAGGCCACGAUGCAUAGCCGACCUGAGAGGGUGAUCGGCCACAUUGGGACUGAGACACGGCCCAAACUCCUACGGGAGGCAGCAGUAGGGAAUCUUCGGCAAUGGACGAAAGUCUGACCGAGCAACGCCGCGUGAGUGAAGAAGGUUUUCGGAUCGUAAAACUCUGUUGUUAGAGAAGAACAAGGAUGAGAGUAACUGUUCAUCCCUUGACGGUAUCUAACCAGAAAGCCACGGCUAACUACGUGCCAGCAGCCGCGGUAAUACGUAGGUGGCAAGCGUUGUCCGGAUUUAUUGGGCGUAAAGCGAGCGCAGGCGGUUUCUUAAGUCUGAUGUGAAAGCCCCCGGCUCAACCGGGGAGGGUCAUUGGAAACUGGGAGACUUGAGUGCAGAAGAGGAGAGUGGAAUUCCAUGUGUAGCGGUGAAAUGCGUAGAUAUAUGGAGGAACACCAGUGGCGAAGGCGACUCUCUGGUCUGUAACUGACGCUGAGGCUCGAAAGCGUGGGGAGCAAACAGGAUUAGAUACCCUGGUAGUCCACGCCGUAAACGAUGAGUGCUAAGUGUUGGAGGGUUUCCGCCCUUCAGUGCUGCAGCUAACGCAUUAAGCACUCCGCCUGGGGAGUACGACCGCAAGGUUGAAACUCAAAGGAAUUGACGGGGGCCC
rnacentral:rRNA from 1 species